UCAAACGUUUUAAGGGCAUUUGGUGAAUACCUUGGCGCAUAGAGGCGAUGAAGGACGUGGCAUGCUGCGAAAAGCUUCGGGGAGUUGCAAGCAAACUUUGAUCCGAAGAUAUCCGAAUGGGGAAACCCACCGCAUUAGCGGUAUCGCUACCUGAAUAUAUAGGGUAGCGAAGCGAACCUGGUGAACUGAAACAUCUAAGUAGCCAGAGGAAAGGACAUCAACCGAGACUCCGUUAGUAGUGGCGAGCGAACGCGGACCAGGCCAGUGGUCAUAUUUAACAAACUGGAACUGUCUGGAAAGGCAGGCCAUAGUGGGUGAUAGCCCCGUACAGGUAAAGUUAUUUAUGAUCCUCGAGUAGGGCGGGACACGUGAAAUCCUGUCUGAAAUUGGGGGGACCACCCUCCAAGCCUAAGUACUCCUAUGCGACCGAUAGUGAACAAGUACCGUGAGGGAAAGGUGAAAAGCACCCCGACAAGGGGAGUGAAAUAGAUCUUGAAACCGAAUGCCUACAAGCAGUAGGAGCACCUUUAUGGUGUGACUGCGUACCUUUUGUAUAAUGGGUCAGCGAGUUAAUCUUUGCAGCAAGCUUAAGCCGGUAGGUGUAGGCGCAGCGAAAGCGAGUCUUAAUAGGGCGAUUUAGUUGCAGGGAUUAGACCCGAAACCGGGUGAUCUAGCCAUGAGCAGGUUGAAGGUGCAGUAACAUGCACUGGAGGACCGAACCCACCAACGUUGAAAAGUUGGGGGAUGACUUGUGGCUAGGGGUGAAAGGCCAAUCAAACCCGGAAAUAGCUGGUUCUCCGCGAAAUCUAUUUAGGUAGAGCGUCAUGUAUCAUCAUCGGGGGUAGAGCACUGGAUGGGCUAGGGGGUCCCAACGACUUACCAAACCUAACCAAACUCCGAAUACCGAUGAAUGCAGCAUGGCAGACAGGCAGUGGGUGCUAAGAUCCAUUGCCGAGAGGGAAACAGCCCAGACCGCCAGCUAAGGUCCCUAAGUUAUGGCUAAGUGGGAAAGGAUGUGGGAAGGCCAAAACAACCAGGAGGUUGGCUUAGAAGCAGCCACCCUUUAAAGAAAGCGUAAUAGCUCACUGGUCUAGAUAAGCCGGCCUGCGCCGAAGAUGUACCGGGGCUAAAGCCAUACACCGAAGCUGCGGAUUCAGACUUUUAGUCUGAGUGGUAGCGGAGCGUUCUGUAAGCCUGUGAAGGGUAACCGCGAGGUUAUCUGGAGGUAUCAGAAGUGAGAAUGCUGACAUGAGUAGCGAGAUGAGUGUGAGAAACACUCACGCCGAAAGUCCAAGGGUUCCUGCGUAAAGCUAAUCUGCGCAGGGUUAGUCGGCCCCUAAGGCGAGGGCGAAAGCCGUAGUCGAUGGGAAUGAGGUUAAUAUUCCUCAACCUGCUAGAAGUGACGAAUAGGGUAAAUUGUGAGUUCUUAUUGGAUUGAACUUGCCGUGAACCUGUUCCAGGAAAUAGCUCUAGCGUAUAGACCGUACCCCAAACCGACACAGGUGGACUGGUAGAGUAUACCGAGGCGUUUGAGAGAACUAUGUUGAAGGAACUCGGCAAAAUGACCCCGUAACUUCGGGAGAAGGGGUACCCUCUUUAAGGCAACUUAAGGGGGGUGGCACAGAAUUGGGGGUGGCGACUGUUUAUUAAAAACAUAGGACUCUGCGAAGUCGCAAGACGACGUAUAGGGUCUGACGCCUGCCCGGUGCUGGAAGGUUAAGAGGAGCGGUGAGAGCUGCGAAUUGAAGCCCCAGUAAACGGCGGCCGUAACUAUAACGGUCCUAAGGUAGCGAAAUUCCUUGUCGGGUAAGUUCCGACCUGCACGAAUGGCGUAACGACUUCCCCGCUGUCUCCAACAUAGACUCAGCGAAAUUGAAUUCUCCGUGAAGAUGCGGAGUACCCGCGGUCAGACGGAAAGACCCCGUGCACCUUUACUACAGCUUUGCAGUGGUAUCAGGAUUUAAAUGUGUAGGAUAGGUGGGAGCCUUUGAAGCAGUAACUCUAGUUAUUGUGGAGGCAUCCUUGAAAUACCACCCUUUUGACUUUUGGUAUCUAACCGCGGACCGUUAUCCGGUUCCGGUACCCGGCAUGGUGGGUAGUUUGA
rnacentral:rRNA from 1 species